rnacentral:rRNA from 1 species
GACGAACGCUGGCGGCGUGCUUAACACAUGCCAGUCGAACGGAAAGGCCCUGCUUUUGUGGGGUGCUCGAGUGGCGAACGGGUGAGUAACACGUGAGUAACCUGCCCUUGACUUUGGGAUAACUUCAGGAAACUGGGGCUAAUACCGGAUAGGAGCUCCUGCUGCAUGGUGGGGGUUGGAAAGUUUCGGCGGUUGGGGAUGGACUCGCGGCUUAUCAGCUUGUUGGUGGGGUAGUGGCUUACCAAGGCUUUGACGGGUAGCCGGCCUGAGAGGGUGACCGGCCACAUUGGGACUGGGCUACGGCCCAGACUCCUACGGGAGGCAGCGGUGGGGAAUAUUGCACAAUGGGCGGAAGCCUGAUGUGGCAACGCCGCGUGCGGGAUGACGGCCUUCGGGUUGUAAACCGCUGUCGCCUGUGACGAAGCGUGAGUGACGGUAAUGGGUAAAGAAGCACCGGCUAACUACGUG